UUUAUACGGCGAAACUGCGAAUGGCUCAUUAAAUCAGUCAUAAUCUACUUGGCACAAAUUCUACCACCUGGAUAACCGUGGUAAUUCUAGAGCUAAUACAUGCAAGAGAAGUGGCGACGCAAGAAGCCAUGCAUUUAUUAGAUACAAGCCAACUUGGGGUAAAACCCAGUUCUGGUGAAUCAUAAUAACUUGCCGAUCGAAGUGAGUCGACAGCUCAAUCGAUUCUCUGCCCUAUCACCGCUUAUCUACGUAGUGUAGUGGACUACUUAGGCAGUAACGGGUAACGGGGAAUAAGGGUUCUAUUCCGGAGAGGGAGCCUGAGAAACGGCUACCACAUCCAAGGAAGGCAGCAGGCGCGCAAAUUACCCAAUCCCGACAUGGGGAGGUAGUGACAAUACAUAACAAUGCAGGACCUUUUAGGUCUUGCAAUUGGAAUGAGUACAAUUUAAAUCCUUUAACGAGGAUCAAUUGGAGGGCAAGUCUGGUGCCAGCAGCCGCGGUAAUUCCAGCUCCAAUAGCGUAUAUUAAAGUUGUUGCAGUUAAAACGUCCGUAGUCAAGCAUUUGCCUUUGGACUAGGUUCUCUUCAUUCAGUUGUUGGGAAUAUCUAGGACUAGGCAUUAGCUUAGUUGUGCUUUGCUUCCUUUGGGAGUAAGGUACAUUAUGCUAAGCGUAUUACCAUGAGCAAAUCAGAGUGCUUAAAGCAGGCUUUACAGCUUGAAUGUGUUAGCAUGGAAUAAUGAAAUAUGACCCAAGGUCUUUUUCGUUGGUUUUGAGGCCUAAGUAAUGAUAAAUAGGAGUGGUCGGAGGCAUUUGUAUUUGAGCGCUAGAGGUGAAAUUCUUGGAUUGCUCGAAGACAAACUACUGCGAAAGCUUUUGUCCUAGCACAUCUCCGUUGAUCAGGGGCUAAAGUUAGGGGAUCGAAGACGAUUAGAUACCGUCGUAGUCUUAACCACAAACGAUGCCGACUAGAGAUUGGGCUUGUUCAUUUCGACUUGCUCAGGAUCUUAGCGAAAGCAAAGUUUUUGGGUUCUGGGGGGAGUACGGCUCGCAAGGCUGAAACUUAAAGGAAUUG
rnacentral:rRNA from 1 species